UAUCUGUAUAUCUUGGUUAUG
rnacentral:miRNA from 1 species